UACAGAGGUCCCGAGCGUUGUUCGGAUUCAUUGGGCGUAAAGGGUGCGUAGGCGGCGGGGCAAGUCUGAUGUGAAAUCCCGGGGCUCAACCCCGGAACUGCAUUGGAUACUGCCUUGCUCGAGUACUGGAGAGGGAACUGGAAUUUACGGUGUAGCAGUGAAAUGCGUAGAGAUCGUAAGGAAGGCCAGUGGCGAAGGCGGGUCUCUGGACAGUUCCUGACACUGAGACACGAAGGCCAGGGGAGCAAACGGG
rnacentral:rRNA from 1 species